AACGAACGCUGGCGGCAGGCUUAACACAUGCAAGUCGAACGGGUGUAGCAAUACAUCAGUGGCAGACGGGUGAGUAACACGUGGGAACCUUCCUAGGGGUACGGAACAACUCAGGGAAACUUGAGCUAAUACCGUAUACGUCCGUGAGGAGAAAGAUUUAUCGCCCUUAGACGGGCCCGCGUCGGAUUAGGUGGUUGGUGGGGUAACGGCCUACCAAGCCUACGAUCCGUAGCUGAUCUUAGAGGAUGAUCAGCCACACUGGGACUGAGACACGGCCCAGACUCCUACGGGAGGCAGCAGUGGGGAAUCUUGGACAAUGGGCGCAAGCCUGAUCCAGCCAUGCCGCGUGAGUGAAGAAGGCUUUAGGGUUGUAAAGCUCUUUUACCAGGGACGAUAAUGACGGUACCUGGAGAAUAAGCCCCGGCAAACUUCGUGCCAGCCGCCGCAGUAACAC
rnacentral:rRNA from 1 species